CAGUGCAUGUUUUAUUUCAGUUUUAUAUUUAUUUCAGGCAAGUGCUUAUUACAUGGAUAUUAUUCAUGUUGGAUACCUAAAUUCUGGAGCAUGAAGAGCCAGUAUAGUACAGCUGAAUAGUAAAAAUACAAUAUGUACAAAAUUAGUGGGGUCUUUUUCACAUAGCAGAUGUAUCCAAACACAUAAAAAUCUUUACAAUCUAGGUUGGUUUGAGUUCAGUGUUUCAGUAAGUUGGUACCACAUUGCCACAUCCUCACCCACUGAGGCCAUUUGUGACCUUACAACCAGCAAAACACUCCUACUGCAAAUGCUUUUAGCCAGGAGGGGGGUUACAGGCAGUGAGAGGCACGGGGGGACCCGCUCCCACCACGGCUCUUCACCCAGCGAUGCCGUGGCUGGUGCUUGACCAGAUGCAAGGAAAUCACUGGGUGGAUGCGAUGAGGACUCAGUUUCUCCCCCUGCCCAGACACCCCCCGGGACCGGGCUGUUGGGGUGUAUGUAAGAGCCGGGCACCAGGCUCUCUGCAGCUCUGGGCUGUGCUGCUGGUGGCACUGGGGGCACUGCCUGCAGGGUCCCAGUGCCUGGCCCGGAGCAGCACCGCAGCCGGUGCAGGAGCCUGCCACGAGAGCACAGAGCACGGGAGGGUGACAGCAGCCAGGGAGGGACCCAGCGCAGCGGGAGGAUGGGAGCUGGGGGGGUUCCAACCCUGGCGAGCAGCCGAGGGCUCACAGCCACCACCAGUGACCCCACACUCAGUCACUGUCACCGCACACAGAGGGCGUGAACUAAUGGGCCUCAUCCUGAUCUACAGCAGAACCAGCCACACGACCCCUCCAGGGUCAGUAAGGAUGCCAACCCCAGCCCCUCGCCCCAGCCCACAACUGUCACACUAGGAUUUCUUUUAAAUGCAAAAUCUUCCCUCAGGAUGCAAACCCAUCCAGAGGAGACACAGGCAACACACAAAAACCAGACACGAGAAAAGCCUUGCAGCGAACGUCUACACGUGUAUCAACAGGCGUGCACACGGACAACCACACCGAUACCGACACGAGCAGCAACAGCCUCACCUCCACCUAAACCACUCAAGGCAUUGUAUGAGUUUUUGUUUGUUCUUUUGUCAGAGAAGGCCACUUUUAAUUAAAACAAAGGAAAAGAGACAAACUGUCCCACAGCAGCAGCCCGGACACACACAGCUCCAGCGGGAUGCAGGGCAGCGCGUCUCCUACCUGGAUGAAUUGACUGUGUGCAGUUCUAGCAGAGCAGAAGGACAUCGCUGCUGCCCAGCUCUGUGCUCCACAGAACAAACCCAGCUCAGACCUGAGCCCUGCUUGCCCUGACACCCAGGAUCCAACCCCAGCACGGACACACACAUGUGCAGAGCCCCGACGCAGCCGUUUGGCUCCAGCCCUGUUCUCCCAGUGUCACCCCCCACGCAGCCCCCGGGUGGGCAGAGCAGGGUCCCACUCGCAGCAAGGCUGAGCAGGGACCCCAGGACCCAUCGGGGACAGCGGGAACCUCAGCACCACCGGCCCCAGAAACCUCCCCUCGGCCACUGGCCCCCGAUCCGCUCCCCUGAGUCAUUUCACACUGACCCAACAGCCCAGGCUGAGCAAUGGGGCUCCCUUCCUCCUCCUCCUCCGCCUCCUUCCAUCCAGCCAAGCACAGCCCUGCUCCCCCCCGGGCUCUCAUCCCCUCCCCUCGCUGCUCAACAUCCCUCAGGGAGUGCUGCUCCUGAGCACAAAUCACAGACAAAGCCACGAGUCCUUCCCGCAGGGUCCUCUUCAUAAAACAACAAUGCACAAGAAAUGGUUUUGGCCAAAACCUGGCUCUGGAAGCACAGGAGCAUUGUCCCCUGCACCCGUCGCUGCGCGGGGGUUUACUCACACUGAUGUGCUGGGUCCGUUCCACACACACACACGAUGAUGCUGGAUGAAGGUUCAAGCACUGAUCGAGCUCUGGAGCGCGGUUCUGCCGUCGGCAGCGUGACGUGAAGCUCAGGAGCACACGGGCUGUGAGGUCGGGAAGCACAGAGAGAUGGACCUGAGUCCUGCCCUCCAGGGGAGCAUCUCCACUAACUACAGGCACCGAGACAGCCCUGACAGGACAGAAGAGUCUUCUCAAAACUACUACAUAGAAAACCCAUCUGCUAGUUCUGUGGUGUGGUCACCAACAGCCAACACUGUUCAACAACAGAAGAGAUUUCUUGUAAACUUCGUAUUUAUUGAUUUUUUUUUUGGGACAAAUUAGAUCUUCUGAAUCCCAAAGUAGACAUAUAUAUAUAUUUAUAUAUAGCUUUCUCCAUAGGGAAAACAUAUAUCAGAGGAGGAGAGACAUUUCUAAAGUGCCCCUUGUUAUACAGUACUGAACAUGAGCAUUAGGGUAAAGCUGAAGUUUCUGAGCAGGAGUGGCAGAUGUGGGCACAGAAGAGCUGCUCUUUGCUCUUUUCCCCACAGAACAGGGAGAAGUUUGCUAAAAACAACAGAAAAUCCCCCCAAGGAAACACUUCUGGUGGCCAUGGAAAAGGCAGAAGAGAAUGGUGGGACCCAAGACACCUGGACCAGCUCAGGGCUGGCCGAGCAGGACAGGAUGUGCUCAAGUGAAAGGGUUUGGACAUAACAUCAUUGCAGAACUCCAGGGGGAGAGAAAAACUGGCAAAGAUGUGGGACAUGGAGUGACACUGUUACCUUUAGACCACAAGGGAGCAGAAGAUGAGGUCAGCAGCAUCACCCGUCCUUACAGCCAAGGCCAUUAAAUAAUCCACCAGGAAGCUCAUUCACCUGUAAACGGGAACUCCUCUCUCCAUCCUGUAAAAAGUACUGUAGAAAACAGAGCAGCUCUGUGCCCAGCUAUGGCAUCAGAAGACACGGGAAUAAGAAGCCAAUGGGGUUAAGAUGAGAGCAGAGUUUUAAAGACACAAAGCGAGCUGUCAUUGCAAAACUGUACGUAGAAGAGCUGGACCAACCCACACAGGCUGAUCCCGCAGGUCCUGCCAACACAGGGCUUGGGGAAUGACAUCAAGGGAUGGAGGGGCCCUCAGCCAACACUCGUGUGCUGAGCCCCGCUUCCCAAUCCAGGCCUCUUCCCCUUCAGUGAGCUCAACCACUCUUGACUAGAAACCUCCUGCCUCCAUGAUGGUAUUUUGUGAAUUGGAACAGUAAAGGCAGCAGAAAGAUGCUUCCUCCCCAUCCUAAUGCAGGAGGCAAAGCCACACGGUUCCUCCUAAGAAGGGAGACGACUCUGUUGCAAAUACUCAGCAUUCAAGAGUUUCUGAUGAGGAGCAACUGUCCUGAUCCCCAACGCUGAUCUCCAAAAUACCGGCACACAAAACACAACCACCUCAGGAAAGCACCUGCGGGUACAAGGACACGAUGCUGCUAACCCAGAGUGCCAACGCCCAGUGAAACAAACCAUCUGGUUAAAUGUGGUUCAAGGAUAAAGAAUCCUUAAAGAUUUGUCUGUUCUCCUGCGGAAACUGCGCCAAUAACACUCAAGGAUCAAGGGAAAAAGAAAAGUGUUAACUACGGAGCACCCAGGGCUUUAUGACUGGAUCUGAUGCAGUUCCCAGCCACGUCUGCUCAGAAGGCACAACCACGCCUGGCCUCUGUUUGCAGGAAUUACCCUGCCUCCAGCAAAGUUCAAGCACAGCAUGGGCUGCACAGAACUGGAGAGUUUCUGAAUCACACCUCCACCUCUGUCCUCGGAGUCCACAGCCAGGUACGAGUCCUGCUGCAGCCAGCAGGCAUUCCAGGCAGCCCCUGGAGCAGGCGGAUCACAGCCCAAAAGGAAACGCAGCAGCCAGCACAGGGAGGUGUGUAACUGCUCAGACCCACUCUUCUGCAUGGGCAGCACUUCCAGAGUGUUCCAGGGCAGCCUCCAGCAGGGACCAUCCUCAUCCUGCCCACGGAAAACAUCCACUGGCUACAGCAGGAAUUUUGCCUGGACAGAGGACUGUGGAGUAUUGGGUUUUGGAAAGAGGAAGAUGGAGCAGAGAUCAGUAAGAGCAGUACUUACUACACACAGAACAGUGCAAGGACCAAACAGCCAGCAAUGGAACAAGUCCUACAGCACCCUCCCGGGCAGGCUGUAAGUACCAGAAUCACACCACAUCCCUUCCUCGUGACUCCAUGGGAGUUUGCCAUGGACUCCAGUGAGAUCUGACCUAACCACUGGAUGGGAUGAAGGAGAAGGUCCCUUGGGAUGAGGGGCUCCUUGGUGCACAUCUCACUGUAAGACACAAGUUACACACACUGAUCUCCUGGAGUGUAUCAUUAACCUCUUGGCACUUUGGAGAUAACCACAUCCACAUUUAUCCCUUUCUAAUCCACUGACUCCCAACUAAACCAUGGUCAGCUGAAGAACGAACUAGCAAAGAAAAUUCACCCACACAGCAAGUCUGCUUAAUUUCUGAUGGUUCUGUCCCAGGCUCCACUCUAUGAGGCCACAUACACACACUGCAAAUUGCCAGCACAAAGUAUCUGCCUCUGCAAAACAAGAACAACCCAAGAACCUGGGAGCUCGGGAUUGGUGGGAGGAAUCCCGAAUGGGAAGUGCCACGCACAGAGAUCUGCAAAACC
ensembl:lncRNA